rnacentral:rRNA from 1 species
GACGAACGCUGGCGGCGUGCCUAAUACAUGCAAGUAGAACGCAGUUGGGAACGGGAGAGUAACGCAUAGGGAACUACCUAUUAGAGGGGGGUAACUAAUGGAAACGAUAGCUAAUACCGCAUACUAGUAGAUGGACCUGCGUUGUAUUAGGUAGUCGGUAGGGUAAUGGCCUACCUAGGCAACGAUACAUAGCCGAACUGUGAGGGUGAUCGGCCACACUGGGACUGAGACACGGCCCAGACUCCUACGGGAGGCAGCAGUAGGGAAUCUUCGGCAAUGGGGGGAACCCUGACCGAGCAACGCCGCGUGAGUGAAGACGGUUUUCGGAUCGUAAAGCUCUGUUGUUAAGGAAGCGGUACUUAACCAGAAAGGGACGGCUAACUACGUGCCAGCAGCCGCGGUAAUAC